rnacentral:rRNA from 1 species
AGUGAACGCUAGCGGUAGGCCUAACACAUGCAAGUCGAACGGCAGCACAGUAAGAGCUUGCUCUUACGGGUGGCGAGUGGCGGACGAGUGAGGAAUACAUCGGAAUCUACUUUUUCGUGGGGGAUAACGUAGGGAAACUUACGCUAAUACCGCAUACGACCUACGGGUGAAAGCAGGGGAUCUUCGGACCUUGCGCGAUUGAAUGAGCCGAUGUCGGAUUAGCUAGUUGGCGGGGUAAAGGCCCACCAAGGCGACGAUCCGUAGCUGGUCUGAGAGGAUGAUCAGCCACACUGGAACUGAGACACGGUCCAGACUCCUACGGGAGGCAGCAGUGGGGAAUAUUGGACAAAGGGCGCAAGCCUGAUCCAGCCAUACCGCGUGGGUGAAGAAGGCCUUCGGGUUGUAAAGCCCUUUUGUUGGGAAAGAAAAGCAGCAGGUUAAUACCCCGCUGUUCUGACGGUACCCAAAGAAUAAGCACCGGCUAACUUCGUG